rnacentral:miRNA from 1 species
GGCGGGCGGGCUGUCUGGGCGGCCGGCACGCGAGGGAGCACUUUACACUGAAGAGGAAGCACACAGUGUAAAGUGCUCCCUCGCGUGCCGGCCACCCAGACAGCCCGCCCACC